rnacentral:rRNA from 1 species
UUCCGGUUGAUCCCGCCGGACCUGACUGCUAUCGGAUUGAUACUAAGCCAUGCGAGUCUUUGCAGUAAUGCAAGGCAUACGGCUCGGUAACACGUAGUCAACCUACCCUAUGGACGAGAAUAAUCUCGGGAAACUGAGCAUAAUUCUUGAUAGAUCAUAAUGCCUGGAAUGGUUUAUGGUUAAAAUGAUUCGUCGCCAUAGGAUGGGACUGCGGCCUAUCAGCUUGUUGGUGAGGUAAUGGCCCACCAAGGCGAUUACAGGUACGGGCUCUGAGAGGAGAAGCCCGGAGAUGGGUACUGAGACACGGACCCAGGCCCUAUGGGGCGCAGCAGGCGAGAAAACUUUGCAAUGUGCGAAAGCACGACAAGGUUAAUCCGAGUGAUUUCUGCUAAAGAAAUCUUUUACCAGUCGUAAAACCGCUGGUGAAUAAGGGGUGGGCAAGUUCUGGUGUCAGCCGCCGCGGUAAAACCAGCACCUCAAGUGGUCAGGAUGAUUAUUGGGCCUAAAGCAUCCGUAGCCGGCUUUGUAAGUUUUCGGUUAAAUCCAUGUGCUCAACGCAUGGGCUGCCGAAAAUACUGCAUAGCUAGGGAGUGGAAGAGGUAGACGGUACUCAGUAGGUAGGGGUAAAAUCCUUUGAUCUAUUGAUGACCACCUGUGGCGAAGGCGGUCUACCAGAACACGUUCGACGGUGAGGGAUGAAAGCUGGGGGAGCAAACCGGAUUAGAUACCCGGGUAGUCCCAGCUGUAAACGAUGCAGACUCGAUGAUGCAUUGGCAUAAUAGCCAUUGCAGUGUCGCAGGGAAGCCGUUAAGUCUGCCGCCUGGGAAGUACGUACGCAAGUAUGAAACUUAAAGGAAUUGGCGGGGGAGCACCACAAGGGGUGAAGCCUGCGGUUCAAUUGGAAUCAACGCCGGAAAGGGCGAAUUCCACAGUGGAUAUCAAGCUUAUCGA